rnacentral:misc_RNA from 1 species
GAACUGCGAUAAGUAAUGUGAAUUGCAGAAUUCAGUGAAUCAUCGAGUCUUUGAACGCACAUUGCGCCCCCUGGCAUUCCGGGGGGCAUGCCUGUCCGAGCGUCAUUGCUGCCCGUCAAGCCCGGCUUGUGUGUUGGGUCGUCGUCCCCUCCGGGGGACGGGCCCGAAAGGCAGCGGCGGCACCGCGUCCGGUCCUCGAGCGUAUGGGGCUUUGUCACCCGCUCGAUAAGGACCGGCCGGGCGCCAGCCGGCGUCUCCAACCUUUUUUUCUCAGGUUGACCUCGGAUCAGGUAGGGAUACCCGCUGAACUUAAGC